AAACUUAAAUGAAUUGACGGGGACCCGCACAAGCGGUGGAUGAUGUGGUUUAAUUCGAUGCAACGCGAAAAACCUUACCCACCUUUGACAUGGCAGGAAUCCUGAAGAGAUUCGGGAGUGCUCGAAAGAGAACCUGCACACAGGUGCUGCAUGGCUGUCGUCAGCUCGUGUCGUGAGAUGUUGGGUUAAGUCCCGCAACGAGCGCAACCCUUGCCAUUAGUUGCUACGAAAGGGCACUCUAAUGGGACUGCCGGUGACAAACCGGAGGAAGGUGGGGAUGACGUCAAGUCCUCAUGGCCCUUAUAGGUGGGGCUACACACGUCAUACAAUGGCCGGUACAGAGGGUAGCCAACCCGCGAGGGGGAGCCAAUCCCGCAAAGCCGGUCGUAGUCCGGAUCGCAGUCUGCAACUCGACUGCGUGAAGUCGGAAUCGCUAGUAAUCGCGGAUCAGAAUGUCGCGGUGAAUACGUUCCCGGGUCUUGUACACACCGCCCGUCACACCAUGGGAGCGGGUUCUGCCAGAAGUAGUUAGCCUAACCGCAAGGAGGGCGAUUACCACGGCAGGGUUCGUGACUGGGGUGAAGUCGUAACAAGGUAGCCGUAUCGGAAGGUGCGGCUGGAUCACCUCCUUUCUG
rnacentral:rRNA from 1 species